GAUGAACGCUAGCGAUAGGCUUAACACAUGCCAGUCGAGGGGCAGCACAAGGUAGCUUGCUAUCUGGGUGGCGACCGGCGCACGGGUGCGUAACGCGUAUGCAACUUGCCCUAUACAGGAGGAUAACCCGUCGAAAGACGGACUAAUACUGCGUAUGCUCACAACUUGGCAUCAAGUGGUGAGGAAAGAAAUUCGGUAUAGGAUAGGCAUGCGUCCCAUUAGCUUGUUGGUGAGGUAACGGCUCACCAAGGCAACGAUGGGUAGGGGAACUGAGAGGUUUAUCCCCCACACUGGUACUGAGACACGGACCAGACUCCUACGGGAGGCAGCAGUGAGGAAUAUUGGUCAAUGGGCGCGAGCCUGAACCAGCCAAGUCGCGUGAAGGAUGACUGUCUUAUGGAUUGUAAACUUCUUUUAUACGGGAAUAACAAGAGUCACGUGUGACUCCCUGCAUGUACCGUAUGAAUAAGCAUCGGCUAACUCCGUG
rnacentral:rRNA from 1 species